rfam:Pan troglodytes isolate Yerkes chimp pedigree #C0471 (Clint) chromosome 11, whole genome shotgun sequence.
GUCUUAGGUGAGCUAAAUGUGUGCUGGGACACAUUUGAGCCAAAUGUCCCAGCACACAUUUAGCUCACAUAAGAA